UGGGGAAUCUUGGACAAUGGGGGCAACCCUGAUCCAGCCAUGCCGCGUGAGUGAUGAAGGCCUUAGGGUCGUAAAGCUCUUUCGCCUGUGAAGAUAAUGACGGUAGCAGGUAAAGAAACCCCGGCUAACUCCGUGCCAGCAGCCGCGGUAAUACGGAGGGGGUUAGCGUUGUUCGGAAUUACUGGGCGUAAAGCGCACGUAGGCGGACCAGAAAGUUGGGGGUGAAAUCCCGGGGGCUCAACCCCGGAACUGCCUCCAAAACUAUUGGUCUAGAGUUCGAGAGAGGUGAGUGGAAUUCCAAGUGUAGAGGUGAAAUUCGUAGAUAUUUGGAGGAACACCAGUGGCGAAGGCGGCUCACUGGCUCGAUACUGACGCUGAGGUGCGAAAGUGUGGGGAGCAAAACAGGAUUAGAUACCCUGGUAGUCCACACCGUAAAACGAUGAAUGCCAGUCGUCGGGUAGCAUGCUAUUCGGUGACACACCUAACGGAUUAAGCAUUCCGCCUGGGGAGUACGGUCG
rnacentral:rRNA from 1 species